GAUGAACGCUAGCGGGAGGCCUAACACAUGCAAGCCGAGCGGUAGAAAGUAGCUUGCUACUUUUGAGAGCGGCGUACGGGUGCGGAACACGUGUGCAACCUGCCUUUAUCUGGGGAAUAGCCUUUCGAAAGGAAGAUUAAUGCCCCAUAACAUAUUGAUUGGCAUCAAUUAAUAUUGAAAGCUCCGGCGGAUAGAGAUGGGCACGCGCAAGAUUAGCUAGUUGGUGAGGUAACGGCUCACCAAGGCGAUGAUCUUUAGGGGGCCUGAGAGGGUGAUCCCCCACACUGGUACUGAGACACGGACCAGACUCCUACGGGAGGCAGCAGUGAGGAAUAUUAGACAAUGGGUGCAAGCCUGAUCCAGCCAUCCCGCGUGAAGGAUGACGGCCCUAUGGGUUGUAAACUUCUUUUAUACAGGGAUAAACCUACUUACGUGUAAGUAGCUGAAGGUACUGUAUGAAUAAGCACCGGCUAACUCCGUG
rnacentral:rRNA from 1 species